UUUAUGGAGAGUUUGAUCCUGGCUCAGGAUGAACGCUGGCGGCGUGCCUAAUACAUGCAAGUCGAGCGAACGGACGAGAAGCUUGCUUCUCUGAUGUUAGCGGCGGACGGGUGAGUAACACGUGGAUAACCUACCUAUAAGACUGGGAUAACUUCGGGAAACCGGAGCUAAUACCGGAUAAUAUUUUGAACCGCAUGGUUCAAAAGUGAAAGACGGUCUUGCUGUCACUUAUAGAUGGAUCCGCGCUGCAUUAGCUAGUUGGUAAGGUAACGGCUUACCAAGGCAACGAUGCAUAGCCGACCUGAGAGGGUGAUCGGCCACACUGGAACUGAGACACGGUCCAGACUCCUACGGGAGGCAGCAGUAGGGAAUCUUCCGCAAUGGGCGAAAGCCUGACGGAGCAACGCCGCGUGAGUGAUGAAGGUCUUCGGAUCGUAAAACUCUGUUAUUAGGGAAGAACAUAUGUGUAAGUAACUGUGCACAUCUUGACGGUACCUAAUCAGAAAGCCACGGCUAACUACGUGCCAGCAGCCGCGGUAAUACGUAGGUGGCAAGCGUUAUCCGGAAUUAUUGGGCGUAAAGCGCGCGUAGGCGGUUUUUUAAGUCUGAUGUGAAAGCCCACGGCUCAACCGUGGAGGGUCAUUGGAAACUGGAAAACUUGAGUGCAGAAGAGGAAAGUGGAAUUCCAUGUGUAGCGGUGAAAUGCGCAGAGAUAUGGAGGAACACCAGUGGCGAAGGCGACUUUCUGGUCUGUAACUGACGCUGAUGUGCGAAAGCGUGGGGAUCAAACAGGAUUAGAUACCCUGGUAGUCCACGCCGUAAACGAUGAGUGCUAAGUG
rnacentral:rRNA from 1 species